CUACGGGGGGCUGCAGUGGGGAAUAUUGCACAAUGGGCGCAAGCCCGAUGCAGCCAUGCCGCGUGUAUGAAGAAGGCCUUCGGGUUGUAAAGUACUUUCAGCGGGGAGGAAGGGAGUAAAGUUAAUACCUUUGCUCAUUGACGUUACCCGCAGAAGAAGCACCGGCUAACUCGGUGCCAGCAGCCGCGGUAAUACGGAGGGUGCAAGCGUUAACCGGAAUUACUGGGCGUAAAGCGCACGCAGGCGGUUUGUUAAGUCAGAUGUGAAAUCCCCGGGAGCAACCUGGGAACUGCAUCUGAUACUGGCAAGCUUGAGUCUCGUAGAGGGGGGUAGAAUUCCAGGUGUAGCGGUGAAAUGCGUAGAGAUCUGGAGGAAUACCGGUGGCGAAGGCGGCCCCCUGGACGAUGACUGACGCUCAGGUGCGAAAGCGUGGGGAGCAAACAGGAUUAGAUACCCCGGUAGUC
rnacentral:rRNA from 1 species